AUACGUAGGGGGCGAGCGUUGUCCGGAACGAUUGGGCGUAAAGGGCGCGUAGGCGGCGCGGUAAGUCUGGAGUGAAAGUCCUGCUUUCAAGGUGGGAAUUGCUUUGGAUACUGCCGCGCUUGAGUGCAGGAGAGGUUAUCGGAAUUCCCGGUGUAGCGGUGAAAUGCGUAGAGAUCGGGAGGAACACCAGUGGCGAAGGCGGGUAACUGGACUGCAACUGACGCUGAGGCGCGAAAGUGUGGGGAGCAAACAGGAUUAGAUACCCUGGUAGUCCACACUGUAAACGAUGAAUGCUAGGUGUAAGAGGUAUCGACCCCUUUUGUGCCGGAGUCAACACAAUAAGCAUUCCGCCUGGGGAGUACGGCCGCAAGGUUGAAACUCAAAGGAAUUGACGGGG
rnacentral:rRNA from 1 species